GGGGGGGGGGUUCCAGGCUUGUGGGUGAGGUGGGAGGGCCUGAGGUGCAGCCGUGUGGGUGGAGAGAUGCAGAGGGGGGGGGAGAGAGUGCAUGGAGUGCGUGGGGUUGCAUGGGGUUGUGUGGGGUUGCAUGCAGUGCGUGGGGUUGCAUGGGGUGCGUGGGGUUGCAUGGAGCUCUGUGGGGUUGCACUGAGUGCAUGGGGUUGCAUGGGGUUGCAUGGAGUGCAUGGGGUUGCACUGAGUGCAUGGGGUUGCAUGGAGUGCGUGGGGUUGCAUGGAGCUCUGUGGGGUUGCACUGAUUGCAUGCAGUGCGUGGGGUUGCAUGGAGCUCUGUGGGGUUGCAUGGAGUGCGUGGGGUUGCAUGGAGCUCUGUAGGGUUGCACUGAGUGCAUGGGGUUGCAUGGAGUGCGUGGGGUUGCAUGGAGUUGUGUGGGGUUGCAUGGGGUUGUGUGGGGUUGCAUGCAGUGCGUGGGGUUGCAUGGAGCUCUGUGGGGUUGCACUGAGUGCAUGGAGUGCGUGGGGUUGCAUGGAGUGCGUGGGGUUGCAUGGAGUUGUGUGGGGUUGCACUGACUGCAUGGGGUUGCAUGGGGUUGCAUGGAGUGUGUGACGUUGCAUGGAGUGCAUGGGGUUGCAUGGAGUGCGUGGGGUUGCAUGGGGUUGUGUGGAGUUGCACUGAGUGCAUGGGGUUGCAUGGAGUUGUGUGGGGUUGCAUGGAGUUGUAUGGGGUUGCACUGAGUGCAUGGGGUUGCAUGGAGUGUGUGGGGUUGCAUGGAGUGCAUGGGGUUGCAUGGAGUUGUGUGGGGUUGCAUGGAGUUGUAUGGGGUUGCACUGAGUGCAUGGGGUUGCAUGGAUUGUGUGGGGUUGCAUGGAGCUCUGUGGGGUUGCACUGAGUGCAUGGGGUUGCAUGGGGUUGCAUGGAGUGCGUGGGGUUGCAUGGAGUUGUGUGGGGUUGCAUGGAGCUCUGUGGGGUUGCAUGGAGUUGUGUGGGGUUGCAUGGAGUGCAUGAGAUAUGUGAGGUUGCACAGAGGUGCAUGGGGUUGCAUGGAGUGCAUGGGGUUGUGUGGGAUUGCAUGAAGUUGCAUGGAGUUGUAUGGGGUUGCAUGGAGUUGUACGGGGUCUCAUGAGGUGCAUGGGGUUGCAUGGGGUUGUGUGAGGUUGCAUGGAGUACAUGAAGUGCAUGGGGUUGCAAGGGUUUGCACGGGGUUGCAAGGAUUUGCAUGGGGUUGCAAGGGUUUGCAUGGGGUUGCAAGGAUUUGCAUGGGGGUGCAAGGCUUUGCAUGGGGUUGCAUGGAGUGCAUGAGGUGCACGGGGUUGCAUGGAGUUGUGAGGGGUUGCACAAAGUUGCAUGAGGUUGCACGGGACUUCACGGGGUUGUGUGGGGUUCAGGAGGGUGCAUGGGGUUGCAUGGGGGAUCCAUGGGGUUCAUUCCAUAGGGGUGCAUGGGGUUCUGUGGGAUUACUUAGGGUCAUGGGGUCGUGGGAUCAUGGAAUCAUGGAGGUAGACUGAUAGGAUCAUGGAUUUGUAGGGGCGCGGGGUCAUAGAAAUGUAGGGUCGUGGAAACAUGGGGUCAUGGGGUCAUAGAAUCAUGGAGGUAGACUCAUAGGAUCAUGGAUUUGUAGGAGCAUGGGAUCAUGGAAACGUAGGGUCAUGGAAACAUGGGAUCAUGGGGUCAUGGGAUCGUAGAAUCAUGGAGGUAGACUCAUAGGAUCAUGGAUUUGUAGGAGCGCAGGAUAUGGAAACGUGGGGUCAUGGAAACGUGGGGUCAUAGGGUCAUAAAAUCAUGGAGGUAGACUCAGAGGAUCAUGGAUUUGUAGGAGCAUGGGGUCAUGGAAACGUGGGGUCAUGGGAUCAUGGGGUCAUGAGAUCAUAGAAUCAUGGAGGUAGACUCAUAGGAUCAUGGAUUUGUAGGGGCGCGGGAUCAUGGAAACGUGGGGUCAUGGAAACAUGGGGUCAUGGGGUCAUAGAACUGUGGCAUGGUGGAAUCAUAGGGUCAUGGAUUUGUAGGAUCGUGGAAUCAGAACCAUGGCUCAUGGGCUGGAAGGGACCGUAAAGACAAUAAAGAACCAUAGGGUGGUUGAGUUGGAAGGGUCCUUGAAGAUCAUAGAACCAUAGAAACUCACAAUGGUUGGGUUGGAAGGGUCCUUACAGAUCAUAGAAGUAUAGAAUCCCACAAUGGUUGGGUUGGAAGGGAUCUUAUAGACAAUAUAACAAUAGGAUGGUUGGGUUGGGAGGGUCCUUGAAGGUCACAGAACUAUGUAAGUUCACAAUGGUUGGGUUGGAAGGGUCCUUGAAGAUCAUAGGGCCAUAGAAAUGCACAUUGGUUGGGUUGGAAGGAAUCUUAUAGGCCACGGAACCAUAGGGUGGUAGGGUUGGUGGGGUCCUUAAAGAUCCUAGAACUAUAGAAUCCCACAGUGGUUGGGUUGGAAGGGAUCUUAUAGACAACAGAACAAUAGGAUGGUUGGGUUGGGAGGAUCUCUGACGAUCAUAGAACUAUAUAAGUUCACAAUGUUUGGGUUGGAAGGGUCCUUAAAGAUCACAGAACUAUAGAAUCCCAUUAUGGUUGGGUUGGAAGGGAACUUAUAGACAAUAAAACAAUAGGAUGGUUGGGUUGGGAGGAUCUCUGACGAUCAUAGAACUAUAUAAAAUCACAGUGGUUGGGUUGGAAGGGUCCUUGAAGAUCAUAGGGCCAUAGAAAUGCACACUGGUUGGGUUGGAAGGGACCUUAUAGACCACAGAACCAUAGGGUGGUUGGGUUGGAGGGGUCCUUAAAGAUCAUAGAACUAUAGAAUCCCACAAUGGUUGGGUUGGAAGGGUCUUUGAAGAUCACAGAGCUAUAUAAGUUCACAGUGGUUGGGUUGGAAAGGUCCUUGAAGAUCAUAGAACUAUAGAAUCCCAUUAUGGUUGGGUUGGAAGGGACCUUAUAGACCAUAGAAGAGUAGGAUGGUUGGGUUGGAAGGGUCUUUGGAGAUCACAGAGCUAUAUAAGUUCACAGUGGUUGGGUUGGAAGGGUCCUUAAAGAUCACAGAACUAUAGAAUCCCAUUAUGGUUGGGUUGGAAGGGACCUUAUAGACAAUGGAACAAUAGGAUGGUUGGGUUGGGAGGAUCUCUGACGAUCAUAGAACUAUAUAAAAUCAUAGUGGUUGGGUUGGAAGGGUCCUUGAAGAUCAUAGGGCCAUAGAAAUGCACAACGGUUGGGUUGGAAGGGACCUUAUAGACCACGGAACCAUAGGGUGGUUGGGUUGGAGGGGUCCUUAAAGAUCAUAGAACUAUAGAAUCCCACAGUGGUUGGGUUGGAAGGGUCUUUGAAGGUCACAGAGCUAUAUAAGUUCACAGUGGUUGGGUUGGAAGGGUCCUUGAAGAUCACAGAACUAUAGAAUCCCAUUAUGGUUGGGUUGGAAGAGACCUUAUAGACCACAGAACCAUAGGGUGGUUGGGUUGGAGGGGUCCUUAAAGCAGCAGCACAUCCCCAAUGUUCCCCUCUCCUCCCACCCACUGUCACUGCUACACUCCUGGAGCCGUGUCCGUCCCUCCGUCCGUCCAUCCGUCCAUCCCCCCCUUCCCUCCCCUCAGAGCUCCCCAGGAUGUGGGGAGGGGGCAGCAGUACAGCCAGCACUGUCCCCACAGCCACCGUAUGCUGGGAACCCAAAGCCUGCCCGUGGGAUGCACAGCAGGGGUGACACCCAUGGGGUGCUGGGGAGGGGAGGGGGGG
ensembl:lncRNA